rnacentral:rRNA from 1 species
ACGUGGGGGCCCUUUCCACGGUUUCCGUGUCGUAGCUAACGCAUUAAGCACCCUGCCUGGGGAGUACGGCCGCAAGGCUAAAACUCAAAGGAAUUGACGGGGGCCCGCACAAGCGGCGGAGCAUGCGGAUUAAUUCGAUGCAACGCGAAGAACCUUACCAAGGCUUGACAUAUAGAGGAAACGGCCAGAGAUGGUCGCCCCGCAAGGUCUCUAUACAGGUGGUGCAUGGUUGUCGUCAGCUCGUGUCGUGAGAUGUUGGGUUAUGUCCCGCAACGAGCGCAACCCUUGUCCUAUGUUGCCAGCGGUUCGGCCGGGAACUCAUGGGAGACUGCCGUGGUCAACACGGAGGAAGGUGGGGAUGACGUCAAAUCAUCAUGCCCCUUAUGUCUUGGGCUUCACGCAUGCUACAAUGGCCGGUACAGAGGGCUGCGAUACCGCGAGGUGGAGCGAAUCCCUUAAAGCCGGUCUCAGUUCGGAUUGGGGUCUGCAACUCGACCCCAUGAAGUCGGAGUCGCUAGUAAUCGCAGAUCAGCAACGCUGCGGUGAAUACGUUCCCGGGCCUUGUACACACCGCCCGUCAAGUCACGAAAGUCGGUAACACCCGAAGCCGGUGGCCCAACCUUUGGGAGGGAGCCGUCGAAGGUGGGACUGGUGAUUGGGACUAAGU